rnacentral:rRNA from 1 species
UGGGGAAUAUUGCACAAUGGGCGCAAGCCUGAUGCAGCAACGCCGCGUGAGGGACGACGGCCUUCGGGUUGUAAACCUCUUUUAGCAGGGAAGAAGCGAAAGUGACGGUACCUGCAGAAAAAGCGCCGGCUAACUACGUGCCAGCAGCCGCGGUAAUACGUAGGGGCGCAAGCGUUAUCCGGAAUUAUUGGGGCGUAAAGAGCUCGUAGGCGGUUUGUCGCGUCUGCUGUGAAAACUGGAGGCUCAACCUCCAGCCUGCAGUGGGUACGGGCAGACUAGAGUGCGGUAGGGGAGAUUGGAAUUCCUGGUGUAGCGGUGGAAUGCGCAGAUAUCAGGAGGAACACCGAUGGCGAAGGCAGAUCUCUGGGCCGUAACUGACGCUGAGGAGCGAAAGGGUGGGGAGCAAACAGGCUUAGAUACCCUGGUAGUCCACCCCGUAAACGUUGGGAACUAGUUGUGGGGUCCAUUCCACGGAUUCCGUGACGCAGCUAACGCAUUAAGUUCCCCGCCUGGGGAGUACGGCCGCAAGGCUAAA